GAUGAACGCUGGCGGCGUGCCUAAUACAUGCAAGUCGAGCGAACAGAUAAGGAGCUUGCUCCUUUGACGUUAGCGGCGGACGGGUGAGUAACACGUGGGUAACCUAUCUAUAAGACUGGAAUAACUCCGGGAAACCGGGGCUAAUGCCGGAUAACAUGUUGAACCGCAUGGUUCUACAGUGAAAGGCGGCUUUGCUGUCACUUAUAGAUGGACCCGCGCCGUAUUAGCUUGUUGGUGAGGUAACGGCUCACCAAGGCAACGAUACGUAGCCGACCUGAGAGAGGGAUCGGCCACACUGGAAGUGAGACACGGACCAGACGCCUACGGGAGGCAGCAGUAGGGAAUCUUCCGCAAUGGGCGAAAGCCUGACGGAGCAACGCCGCGUGAGUGAUGAAAGUCUUCGGAUCGUAAAACUCUGUUAUUAGGGAAGAACAAAUGCGUAAGUAACUGUGCGCGUCUUGACGGUACCUAAUCAGAAAGCCACGGCUAACUACGUG
rnacentral:rRNA from 1 species